UCCAUCAACUAGCAAUUAAGAGACUGAC
rnacentral:piRNA from 1 species